rnacentral:rRNA from 1 species
GCCAGCCCGCUCAGAACUCAAAGGAAUUGACGGGGCCGCACAAGCGGAGGAGCAUGUGGUUUAAUUCGAUGAUACGCGAGGAACCUUACCUGGGCUCGAACGUAAGAUGACUGUAGGUGAAAGCUUACAUCUCUUCGGAGCAUUUUACGAGGUGCUGCAUGGUUGUCGUCAGCUCGUGCCGUGAGGUGUCGGGUUAAGUCCCAUAACGAGCGCAACCCCUACCUUUAGUUGCCAUCAGGUUAAGCUGGGGACUCUAAAGGAACUGCCUACGCAAGUAGUGAGGAAGGCGGGGAUGACGUCAAAUCAGCACGGCCCUUACGUCCAGGGCUACACACGUGCUACAAUGGCCGAUACAGAGGGCAGCUACCUAGUGACAGGAUGCAAAUCUCCAAAGUCGGUCUCAGUUCGGAUCGGAGUCUGCAACCCGACUCCGUGAAGUUGGAUUCGCUAGUAAUCGCGCAUCAGCCAUGGCGCGGUGAAUACGUUCCCGGGCCUU